UACGUAGGGGGCAAGCGUUGUCCGGAAUCAUUGGGCGUAAAGUGUGCGCAGGCGGCCGCGCAAGUCGAGUGUGAAAGCCCCGAGCUUAACUUGGGAAUUGCGCUCGAAACUACGUGGCUGGAGUGUGGCAGAGGAAGGUGGAAUUCCAGGUGUAGCGGUGAAAUGCGUAGAGAUCUGGAGGAACACCGAUGGCGAAGGCAGCCUUCUGGGCCAACACUGACGCUCAUGCACGAAAGCGUGGGGAGCAAACAGG
rnacentral:rRNA from 1 species